GUCCACGCCGUAAACGAUGAACGCUAGCCGUUGGAUAGCUUGCUAUUCAGUGGCGCAGCUAACGCAAUAAGCGUUCCGCCUGGGGAGUACGGCCGCAAGGUUGAAACUCAAAGGAAUUGACGGGGGCCCGCACAAGCGGUGGAGCAUGUGGUUUAAUUCGACGCAACGCGCAGAACCUUACCAGGGUUUGACAUCCUGAGACCGCCCCUUAAUGGGGGUUUUCCCGCAAGGGACUCAGAGACAGGUGCUGCAUGGCUGUCGU
rnacentral:rRNA from 1 species